CGAUGAUUUAAAAUCUAAGCCAGUAUUUAUUUACAGUUUAUAGAUUACAAGCUAGUUCCCAGCUUGGGGAAAAUCGUUUAGUAUAUUACAAAGGAUUGGACUCUACGUGGCUCACUUAAUGCCUUCACUCAAGUGUAGGCACAUUAGUCAAUAAGAGAGAAAAUUCAAAAGUAAGGAAUGUAUAUGAAAGAGCCGACCACCAAACUUCCCAAUAACUCCACUCCACCCCAUCACUACUUUACUUUUCCCCCACCAUAUUAGUGCACCACCAACUCCACUACCUAUGCUCCCCACCAACUCCAAUCACCCAUUCCUUCCAUUUCGCACCAGCAAUCACCAAGAGAAGGAAGACUUGGCUUAACUACUUUGCCAAGAUUUCAAGUUGCUCCAGUCCAGUAGUACCCCAACACUCCGGCAGUGUUUUUCAAGGCGAUUUCAGCCAUUCAAACGGUUCCCAAAAAUUCUCAAAUUUAUUUGUGUAUCAUCUUUCAUAUGUUUUCUAUACUUUGGUAAAAUUUCAGAAGGUUUGAAUCUCUUAUGAUUUAUUUAUGAAUUUGUAAACAUCACUGCCCAUCUGGAAUACAUUUUUGGUAAACAAUUUUUGGGAGGCCAUAAGUAAAGUUUCAAUCGGUGAAAACCUUUGAAACUUGAAUAUGUCACUCUAGACUCCCGUAUCUUUCUUUUGAAAUCGGCCUCACCAUUUUUGAGUAAGGGAAACAACCGGUAUAAAUUCUUGAAAUCUAGUUCUUAUUCCUUGUACCAUCCAGUAGAUUUUACAAACCUACGACUUUGAGGUGGCAAAUACCGACUUAAAUCUUUGAUUCUCAAGCGUAUCUUUCUACUGAAUAUUCACUGACAUGUUGGGAACUUACUUGUUCAGUUUUAGAAUUUUUGGUGAAGCCUAAAGUGGUUUUUCCGAUUUAUGUUCUGAAUCUGCCAAACUUGAACUCUUUUUGUGCACUGAACUUUAGAUAGUCAUAUCUUCUAAACCAUGAAUGUUAUUAGAGUAAAUCCAACUGGAGAGUGUUAUGAUCUCUCCCUAGUUUCCAGAUUGACCCUUGGGGUUCCCAGUGGAGUUUUGUAAAGGGAGAUAUGAAUUUUUAAAGAAAGCCCACUGACUUGGUUGUAAUCUGGAAAUCUGAAAUUUUCAGAUUUUUGCUAGUUAAAUACCCAUCUUUGAGAGGGCAUAUCUUGCUCGUUUGAAUUGUUUUUCAUUCGAUUCAAAUUGGAGAAUGAUCCUUGAAAUGUCUAGUUUCCAGAAUGUCUUUUGGAGCCUCAUUUGGAGAUCCGAGGCAGAUUUGGUGUCUGUUGCAAAACAACCUCUUAAGAGCUCAAGUUGUUGAAUUAUUUUCUAUGUAUCAAAGUUUAUUUUAAAGGAUGUUUCAUGAAAGAUUUCGUAUAUGUGCGUAACAAGUUUGGGACUAUUUAUUUUAAAUGAGGUCCGUUCUUUAUUUAAAUUAUGAUGGACUUUUAAUGAAUAUUUUUGGGAUUAAACUCUUAUUUCUUGAUUUAUGUAAAUUAUUUUUUUUAAGGACUUAUAAAUAUGAAUUUCGUAGGCCUACUGACCUACUGUGAUCGACGGUUUGUCGAUGUCUAAUAGCUUUGAAAAUUUUAUAGCAAGUCCCGACAUGAGUCUUGAGUACCCUGGUAAAAUUUCAAGCCAUUCCAACUUCGUUUGAUACUUCUUUAAAAUGCAAAACCUAAACUGCACAUUACCACCGAGAAUUUCAGAGAACAGAUGAAAGAGUCAUUUAUUUCAGUAGCUUCCUGUGUGAUCUAGCUUUCCAAAUGUUUAUGGUAUUCACCUUAUUGUGUUAGCUAGAUAUCCACCAAAGUUGAGCCCAGUUUGACAACGUUUACUAUUUUUAAAAAAUCCAAGUUUUCGAUUGUUCAAAACUGCCGAACAUGGUAGAUCGUGGUAAAAACGUCAUAUCUCUCAAACCACUUGGAGUUUUCGACUCUACUUUUUUUUAUAUGAAACUAGAUUCGAAGAUCUUUCUUUCAGUAUGAGUCUCGAGUCCAGGAGAUGUCGGAGUCAGAACAGAUUAAAUUUUGAAGUUGAGUCAGUGUAAAAACAGAGCAUGUUUUAAUGAUGUUUUUGGACUUCGGACUUUAAAGCGAACUAUUAUCAUUUAUUUCUUUAAAGCCACUGGUUUAUUUAAUUAAUUGGCUACUCUCUUUUGAGCCUAUUAAUUAUUUGAGGUUACGCUAGUAAUGAUGUAACGAAUUAUGGAUGCUAGAACCCUAAAACACUAAAAGAUACCCUAGGCACGUAGAAUUAGACUUUGUCUUAUGACAAUUACUUCACGAACUUAUCGACUCUUCAUCAAUGAAGGUCCGGGCGACAGAAAGUGAAGCCGAAGAAGAAACGACUCCACGCCAGCUUUAAGAACAAUUGAGGUUGAGCUGUGAUGGGCGAUGAAGUGUUGUUGCUGAGUGGAGUUUUUGUCGAACUUAAAGUAGGCUCAGAAAGGGUACAUGUCUUCAUACAUGUAUCUCAGUUAUGCAUUCCGCUGUAAACACUGAUUAUUUCAGUUACGCCUUCCGUUGCAAACUCUGAUAAUAUUUUAGCCAAGCCCCUAACGAUGCCUUUUUCCUUUUAAGGAAUAUAACGCGUAUACAAGUUCUUUGA